UACGAAGGGGGCUAGCGUUGCUCGGAAUCACUGGGCGUAAAGCGCACGUAGGCGGGUCUUUAAGUCAGGGGUGAAAUCCUGGAGCUCAACUCCAGAACUGCCUUUGAUACUGAGGAUCUCGAGUCCGGGAGAGGUGAGUGGAACUCCGAGUGUAGAGGUGAAAUUCGUAGAUAUUCGGAAGAACACCAGUGGCGAAGGCGGCUCACUGGCCCGGUACUGACGCUGAAAUACGAAAGCGUGGGGAGCAAACAGG
rnacentral:rRNA from 1 species